UUUUUUUUGUAACUUUAGGUUAACUUGAAAUAAUAACCAAUAUGUAAAUAUCUAAAAUGUAAACCCUUCAACUGGCUUCAGUGGCAGAUAGUUUUACCUAAAUGGUUGGUUACUUUCCAUUCUUCCUUUUUUUCAGUUUAGGUGUGUAACAUGUCAUAGCCGCACAUUUAAAAAAUUCCAUUUCUGAUUGGCUGAUUAGCCUUGGUGAUGUCUCUUCUCCCUGAAUCCUUGUGUUCUUCAAACACAAGAAGAAGCAGAACCACAAGAAGUCUCAUCCAGGUGCACCUGCAUUGAACCAGGAGGGACCACCUUGUCAAGAUUUGGUAGUAAAUAUAUUUUAAGCUAAAUUGUGCUACGUUCGUCUAACUUUGUGUAAAUUUUUGUGUGACUGUUUGUUAUCCCCUUAUUUAAAUUCUCAAAGAAGCUUCUGGCUCAACCGGUUUUCUUUUUAAGAAAUUCUCUUCCGAAUCCAAAGUGAAAAAAAUCAUCAAGGCAUCCAAAAGACAGGAGCUGCAUUUACACUGCAAAUGUGAGCAAAACUUUGUCGAUAUUCUGCUAAUGUUGGAAAAACGUAAUUUUUGCAAUUGCUGUGUUUCCAUUAAAUAAGAAACGCAACUAAGAUCACACAGUCAUGAUCCUCCAGCUACUUCCUGUCAUCAUCUUCUUCGUGGUUUGUGCCAGUGGCAACAUUUAGUGGUUGAUCAUGUGAUUCGUGUGACGGGGAAAAAAGUGUUUCCAUUGCAGUUUUGCGGAAUAAACUGAUUUUGAUUGUU